AAAUGAAUAGACGGGGGCUCACACAAGCGGUGGAUCAUGUGGCUUAAUUCGAUAACAAACGAGUAACCUUACCUGGCUAAGACGCCCGACGACGUCUCCGUGAAAGCGGAGUUUCCCACAAGGACGGCGGGACAGGUGCUGCAUGGUUGUCGUCAGCAGGUGUCGUAAGAUGCACGCUUAGAUGCCGUAACCUGCGCAACCCUUAUCGUAUGUUUUACUUGUCAUACGAAACUGCCGGGGACAACCCGGAGGAAGGCGAGGAUGACGCCAAAUCAGCAUGGCCUUUGACAGCCAGGGCCGCACACGUGAUACAAUGGCCGUUACAAAGGGAAGCCAAGCCGCAAGGCGGAGCUAAUCCCAUCAAAAACGGCCCCAGUUCGGAUUGAGGUCUGCAAUUCGACCUCAUGAAGCCGGAAUCGCUAGUAAACGUGAAUCAUCACGUCACGUUGAAUAUGUUCCUGAGCCUUGUACACACCGCCCGU
rnacentral:rRNA from 1 species